rnacentral:rRNA from 1 species
CGGUGUUUAACUGGCGUGAUGUGGGACGUCCUACCGGUGGGCUUAGCCUCGCGAGGGGGGGCCCAACUAAUAUCCCGUCGCGGUGCUCUUUACUGAGUGUCGAGUCGGGCCGGUACGUUUACUUUGAACAAAUUAGAGUGCUUAAAGCAGGCUAUCCUCGCCUGAAUACUGCGUGCAUGGAAUAAUGGAAUAGGACCUCGGUUCUAUUUUGUUGGUUUUCGGAACCCCGAGGUAAUGAUUAAUAGGGACAGAUGGGGGCAUUCGUAUUGCGACGUUAGAGGUGAAAUUCUUGGAUCGUCGCAAGACGGACAGAAGCGAAAGCAUUUGCCAAAAAUGUUUUCAUUAAUCAAGAACGAAAGUUAGAGGUUCGAAGGCGAUCAGAUACCGCCCUAGUUCUAACCAUAAACGAUGCCAGCUAGCGAUCCGCCGAAGUUCCUCCGAUGACUCGGCGGGCAGCUUCCGGGAAACCAAAGCUUUUGGGUUCCGGGGGAAGUAUGGUUGCAAAGCUGAAACUUAAAGGAAUUGACGGAAGGGCACCACCAGGAGUGGGAGCCUGCGGCUUAAUUUGACUCAACACGGGAAACCUCACCAGGCCCAGACACCGGAAGGAUUGACAGAUUGAUAGCUCUUUCUUGAUUCGGUGGGUGGUGGUGCAUGGCCGUUCUUAGUUGGUGGAGCGAUUUGUCUGGUUAAUUCCGAUAACGAACGAGACUCUAGCCUGCUAAAUAGGCGUACCUUAUGGUAUCGCGAAGGCCCCCGGCUUCGGCCGGUGGGUUUUUACUACCAACGUACAAACAAAUCUUCUUAGAGGGACAGGCGG